rnacentral:sRNA from 1 species
GAACACAGAAACAUACAACCGCUUCUGCCACGUAAGUAUGCUGAGGCUGCGGAAAAAGAGUGUGUCUCUGUAGUCUGGGAGAAAGGGAUGGGCUGGCAGAGUAGGAGGAGAAAAUGCAGAGGGUACAAGUCUUGUAAAUGCUCUAAUUUUAAAACUGAUGAAAAAUCCUCAGAUCAUGUAUCUGGAACAGGAGUUAGAAAGCCUGAAAGCUGUGUUAGAGAUCAAGAAUGAGAAACUGCAUCAACAGGACAUCAAGUUAAUGAAAAUGGAGAAACUGGUGGACAACAACACAGCAUUGGUUGACAAAUUGAAGCGAUUCCAGCAGGAGAAUGAAGAAUUAAAAGCUCGGAUGGAUAAGCACAUGGCAAUUUCAAGGCAACUUUCCACAGAGCAGGCCGUUCUGCAAGAGUCGCUGGAGAAGGAGUCGAAAGUCAACAAGCGACUCUCUAUGGAAAACGAGGAGCUUCUGUGGAAGCUGCACAAUGGGGACCUGUGUAGCCCCAAGAGAUCCCCCACGUCCUCCGCCAUCCCUUUCCAGU